AGAACUCCCGCAAGAAAAUAUUCAUCGGCCCUUCACCUCCUUUCUCUCUCCCAGAAGUCGACAUAUUGUCUACCCCUCAUGACCUACGCUGUUUUUGAAGGUCCUUGUCCGAGCACAGCGCACAUUCCGCCAUCGUCGAUAAUCACUCCAUGUUCUCCGUUUUUGAACGCAGAAGGGUCGCGAUUCAGAUCUGAACCUCACACGUCUUCCACACUUCCUCUCGCCAUUUUGUCGCCGACGGUGCUUCUUCCCUGCUCCAUUGCUCCCUGGAUAUGAACUCUAGAUAAAGAAACCUUCUAUCUGAAAAGUUCAUACGUGAAUACACUGGUAAAGUUGAUGAAUUGGUGAAGGACAAAAUUGAAGUGCAAAAUGAAGUGAAGGCUAAAGAGAAGGAGGAAAAGGAAGUAAUCAUGCAACAGAUUCUGUUGAUGCACAGCUGUAGAUCUACAACGGGAAAGGAUGCAGAUUCCUGUGAUGGCGAGAUGGAUGGUCCUUAGAAAUUGACUGGCGACACAACAACCCAAUCUGCAUCUUCAAAUAGCAGCAAAUUUUGGCGACGCGCUCUAUAAUUUGCAACAGCUAUUGGCACGGUAACAUAUAGUGAUCACCUGUGACAGGCUUCUCGGAGCGACAUGACGAUGGACUCUAGGUAGUGUCAAUGGCGGGAAGGGAGAGGACCAAAGUUGGAAGGGUUUUGAGAGAAAAGAACAUUAGAAAAUAUCUGCCCUCCUGCGAAUGUCCACUACUAAUAAAACAAGCGCUCAUAAAGGUGACUAUAAGAGUACUCACCUUUAUUUAUUUUAUUUUAUUUUUAAAUUCUAAACUUAUAAGAGCGCUUAAAUAAUAAGCGCUCUUAUAGGGUCCUUUUUUAAAAGUUUUUAAUUUAAACCUAUGGGAAUGCUUACAUAAUAAGAGCUACAUUAGGUCCUUUUAUUUUUUUUUUUAUUUUUUUAAAUUUUUUAAACCUAUAGGAGGGCUUCCAUAAUAAGCGCUCCAAUAGGGUUCUCUAGUUUUUCUUUUUAAAACUUUUAAAACUUAUUAGAGCACUUUUAAAAUAAGCAUUUUCAAAUGUCAUUUUAAUUUUUUUUCUUUAUUUUUUUUACAAUCUACAAGAGCGCUUUGAAAUAGGCGCUCCUAAAGCAUAUUUUGUAACAGUGAUUACUUUUUUGCCUUAUCUCACUUCUAUUAGAGAGGUUUAUAUAUGAUUUUAGCAAGAUAGCCUUGCCACUCUCAA